rnacentral:rRNA from 1 species
UACGUAGGGGGCUAGCGUUGUCCGGAAUCACUGGGCGUAAAGCGCGUGUAGGCGGCCCACUAAGUCUGAUGUGAAAGCCCGGGGCUCACCCCCGGAAGUGCAUUGGAAACUGGUGGACUCGAGUCCCGGAGAGGAGAGUGGAAUUCCUGGUGUAGCGGUGAAAUGCGCAGAUAUCAGGAGGAACACCGAUGGCGAAGGCAGGUCUCUGGGCAUUAACUGACGCUGAGGAGCGAAAGCGUGGGGAGCAAACAGG